GGAGAAAAGGAGGAAGGGAGGAUAGGGCGGCUCACUGGGGCUGACGCUGCCCGAACGGCUCAGAGGCCCGGGAAUCUCCGCUCCUCUCUAAGCGGAAAAGGCGCCCCCCCCCCCCCUCCCCACUCUCGGCUCUCUCUCCUCCUUCCUCUCGCAACGCAACUUCAGCUCGGAGCGCACCUCCCUCUCCCCGCCUCCUUCCCAGCCUCCCCAGGCUUAGAUUGUCUGGAGAGCUCGCCCUCGGACAGACCGGGAAACUUGAGCCCCUUGGAGCGGCGCUGGGAAACCUGCCUCCUCUACCCGACGGGCGGACGCUGCAGUCUCCGAACCCCCUCUUUCCCCUCUUCCACUCGGACUCGAAUUCGACUGUUCACUAGUCCGCGAGGAAAGUCUUUCUUCUCGUCCACUUUUGCAGGCGCAGCUGGGUCCCCAGCCUCGGCAGCCUCCCUAAGUCUAGGGGAGAAGGAUCCUACCCGCUAGGGAAAGCUGCGAACUCCUGGAGCCAGUUCUUCGCGUCCUUCUUCCCUCCUCCCUCCGCCACGCAUCUCUCUCCUCUCUACGUGGGGCUCAGGCUGAAACCCAGAACAACAAAACGCAGAUCUCUCCCGACCGCUGCCUUUUCUCCUUUUCCCUCCCUCCCUCGUUCCUCUUUUUUUUUUUCUUUUCCUUUGGAGGAAAGAUCCGUGGGCGCCUCCGAAACUACAGACUCUCCUAGAGACCACUUCUUCGGAGCUAAAAUAGAUUCAGAGACGUGGGGUCUUUCUCGUCUCUCCGAACCUCCUCCCCGGUCUCCAGCCAGCUAUUGAAAGAACCCAAAACAACCCCUAGACAAACCCAGGACCGUUUCGGGGAAGGGAAUGUGGUGGUUUUGAGAACGGAACCCCCCUUUCUAGCCCCCAACUAAUCUAUGCAGCUAUGUCUUCAUUUAUAGGCGCUUCUGCCUGGUCUAGGCUUCCCAACAGCUGAGACGCGCCCAGGACUGGCAUGGAUCUCUGCGCGGCGACUCUCUGAUCCUACCUCCAGGCUGCCCAGGGAGCUAGCCGAGGGAGCGGAGCCGCCAGACGGACCGCAGCGGGCGCGGAUACUCGCAGCGAGUCGGGUUGGGGUGCUGGGGGUGGGGGGCGGGUAGGCGCCGAUGGACGGGGAGAUGAAGGUCUGAGGCUCGGUUCUGUGAAACGUGACCAUGUGGAUUAAACAGCUCUUAGGAAUCAGUUCGAUGUCUGUCCACUGGUCGGGUUGCCAUAUAGGAAGCCAUGCUUGGAUACUUAUAGCCAUGUUUCAACUAGCCAUGGAUUUCCCCACCUGCGAAUCUCUAGCCCAAGGCCCAGAGUUCAGACUCUUGCCUCGGCCUUUCCAUAAUCCCCGGUUGUGGAGUUUUAAGAGUGGACUGGCAACGAAGAUCCCCACCCCUUUAUGGAACCUUCUUUCAUUCCGUCCUGAACGUGCACAUGGGCAAAUGCGGACAUAUCAUUCCAGAGGGACCCACAGAACCAGGGACCAUGGGAUCAUCUCUUUGAAAAGUGGGCCAUCAAAACAUCCAGAAGCUGCCAAAUUCAAUCCUUCUAUUCUGUCCUUGGUGGGAAGUGGGAGUAUAGAACAGCAGACACCUUUGAGAAGGGACAAAAGGCACCUACAAGGGGGUAGUUUGAAUAAUUUUAACUUCAGAGGGAGCAAACCCACAGUGGAAACUGAAUUCAUUGCCUGGGGUCCCACAGGGGAAGAAGAAUCUGUAGAAUCUAGUACAUCUCCUGGGAUUUAUGGCCCCACCACUAUCUCCAUUUUACAAACCAGAAAGACAACUGUGGCUACCACCACCACCACCACCACAAGUUAUGUCACUCUACAGACUAAGGGAUUCUCAGAAUCCCUUAGUCCUGGGAUUAAGAACAGCCCUAACUAUCCGGGUAGGAUUAGCACAACAGAACUCUCCACUGUCCCCAACAGCAAUGGCAAAGACAUCACACCUCCACGGAUUCUGGGCGAGACCUCAGGUCUGGCUGUCCAUCAGAUAAUAACCAUCACUGUCUCCCUCAUCAUGGUAAUAGCUGCUCUGAUUACAACUCUUGUCUUAAAAAAUUGCUGUGCACAAAGUGGAAACACUCGGAGGAACAGCCACCAACGGAAAAUCAAUCAGCAAGAAGAGAGCUGCCAAAACCUGACAGAUUUCACUCCUGCCCGGGUGCCCAGCAACUUGGACAUAUUUACCGCCUAUAAUGAAACCCUACAGUGCUCACAUGAGUGUGUUAGGACCUCAGUGCCCGUGUAUACUGAUGAGACUUUGCACCCAACUGGAGAGUAUAAAACCACCUUUAAUGGAAACAGACCUUCUUCUUCUGAUCGACAUCUAAUUCCCGUGGCCUUUGUGUCUGAGAAAUGGUUUGAAAUCUCCUGCUGACUGGCCGAAGUCUCUUUUACUUCCUGGGGGCAGGGCAGACGCCAUGUGUCUAUUUCCUGGAUUCCGUUGGUGAACCUGUAAAAACAAACAAAAAUAAACAAACAAAAAAAUGAAAAAAAAAAACAAAAAAUGAAAACAAAAACAAAAACAAAAAAAGCCCUAAGACUAAAAUUAGGGGAGAAUGUCCCCAAACCUACCAUUUCUGUUUGCCAGUGGAGAACUCAUGGAGCAGAACUCUAUAGGCCAAAUAUAUUUUUAUAUAAAAAAAAAUGAACGUGCCUAUAGGCAACCUUUAUUAUCCCCAAGGAAUUUUUUUUGGGGGGAAGAAGAGAAAAGUUUCCAGAAAUAAGGGGGAAAAUGAUUCUCUGAAGACAUAAGGAAGAAAAUGAGACCAAGUGCAAAGGACAAGAUGGACCGCCUGGAGAUGAGGAUUUGGACAAUGAUUCUGAACCUGUGCCAAUAACACCAUUACGUGCCAUGUACUGAGCUGAAAGAUUUUGUUUCAAACAUGAAGCUGAGUUAAUUACACAUAGAAAUAUUACAGAAAACAGGGUUGGGGGUUUCUCUUCUGAGACAGUCAAUAUUUCUGGUUAAUAUACAUAUAUAAAUAUAUAAAUACAUACAUGAACACACACACACAAAGACACCUUUUUGUACUGUAGCAAUUUUUGAAGCUCUUAAAUGUUCCUUUUUAAAGAAAAAUGUGUCAUGGGUUACAGAAUCUGAUUUAUUUAACAUGCUUAGUAUGGACUAAAUAAACUGGUGUUUUUUACUUCGGCAACUUGCCUCUCCAACAUAUAUCUAUAUACAUAUAUAUUCACACAAGCAUAUAUAUGAUCAUUUAGAAACAUUUCCACUAGUGAGCAGUAUUCUUCUCAAGACCCAUUAUUUUAUCACCAUCAACUCCAGGGAACAGCCUUAGUCAACACCCUGGAAUACUCAUUGUAAAUGUGUUUACUUACCAGCAGCCACUAUCUAAUGCUUCUACUUUAGAUUGGAAGUACAGUGUCCUGGUUCUAUUUUUGUUAUUGUAGUUAUUUUUUUUUAAUCAUUUGGUUGUUUAAAGAUACUACCUAAGAGCCAGAGGCACAAUUUUGUUUGGUGACUGGCUAUUCUUGAAGAGGACUAUGGGUAGUAUAAUGCUGGAGGGUGAGGGGUAUGUGUCAUGGAUCCUUGGAGCCUAUGAGUGUGGCGUAAAGAUAGAAUGAUGAGUGAGUCUCAAAAUUAAAAUCAUUUAUACAUGUGUAUCUGCGUGUAUGCAUGUAUGUGUGUCUAGAGCUAUUCCAAACUGGAUGGGUCAGAUUCAGGAGGUGGUAUAUUCCCAAUUGAAGAUCUUCAAGUAAAGGCUGGAUGACAGGUAUGUCAUAGAGGAAAUGCUUUUUUCAGAUAUGUUUGUCUAGAUGGCUGCUGAUGUUCCUUCUAACUACAAAAUUCUGUUACUGUGCAUGCAUGUGUGCGUGCAUGAGUGUGUGUAUGUAUGUGUGUGUGAGAAAAGCACUCAGAAAAGUUGUUCAUUUUAUUCUCUCUGGAAAUCACAGCAAUUUGAUCCUAAAAUGACCCAGGAAGUUCACACUUGAACAGUGAAUGUGCAUAUCCAGCCUGCGCAGAAGUCACCUCAAACAUUCCCCUAAAUUAGACUUAUACUGAUAAAACCUAAAGGGGACUGAGGGUAAGUUUCAAUCUACAUCAUGGGUCUGAACUUCCAUUUCUGAGAACUGUGAGAAUACUUCCAUUUAUUAUUUAUUAAUCCAGGAUCCCUUCAUUGGGGUCAAGUACCCUGCAAAUCCUCUGACAAUUCUUGGUUAAUGUAAACACAAACCAGAACACUGUAAUCAAUAGCUACAUCCAUGCACCACUACCAAAUAUAAUCCACACCAAAUCUGCCAAUACACCAAAGGAAUGGAUGGUCUCAGUGAGGGUCAUGGACUUGGUGCCUUGGUACCAUGCAGAGGAAAAUACCAUCUUUUACAUAGGAAGCUGAAUGAAUGUCAGGAGUAGAAUUUCUGAUCCUGGAGGCUCAUGCUUAGUCAUGGAACUGGAAUGUCCUAUGGAUAUGCCAUCCACACUGUCCCACUUGGUCCUCCUUGGGGCUAAGUACAAGCAUUUGCCACAUGGUUGACCAAGCCCAAGGCUGAACUCUUGUUUCAAGAUACAGUUUCAGACUAUGGAACAGUAUUUUUUGUGGGAAGCUAACUGGUCCCUGUAGGGAUUAAUCCUGUGACCUUUUGUCUCAUUAACACUGUGCUUCAACCAACUAAGCUGAAUGCACCCAACAAGUGGAUCAUUGACUGAAUAGGCAGCAAUUCUUUCCACUUUUUUUUUUUUGCCUAAACCAUUGAGACAUAAAUAUAGAUGAAUCCCUGACUCUUUAACCAGGGCAAUCCUCACCUUCAAACAAGUGUAAACUUGAAAAGUAAACUUUUUUCUACAUUUAGAAAUGAGGAAGGAAAAGAGGAACUUUUUUAAAAAUAUUUUUUUAGCAACUUCAUUGCUUUGUCUGUGUUCUGUUCCUUCUAAAGGGUGGGUAAAGAGGACCUUAAAUAGUCUAGUAAAGGAAGGGAUGACGCAUAAGAGAUCCUUCUACAAAUUGCUUUUGGUCAUUUGAUCGUCACCUCCGCUAAGGAAAGGUAAACUAUGUACCUCUUAUAAAAAAAAUAUCCUUCAAUAUCCAGAUAUUUACAUCCAAGUCUUGGGAAUCCCUCUUGAGAGAUCACUGUUAUUGCUGAUAUCUAUGCAGUCAAGUUGGGUUGCCUUUGGCAGCCUGAUUCUUUGAGUAAAUGAAGCUGGAGGUGAUCACAAGUACAUUCUGACUCUGAGUCUGGAUUCCACAGCAAGAUGGAUGGACCACCUGACUUGUGAUCUUAAAUUGCACUCAUAGGUGCAGUUUUCCCUAGAUGAAGAAUUUCAAUUCAAUAUAAUCCAAUUCAAGGCAAUCUGAACCAAUUGAAAUCAAGGCAUGUAUUAAGCACAUGCUCUAUGAUGGUUACUCUAAGAAGACAACCACUUUAUGAAUUUUCAAAGGAGACAACAACACAGUAUCCACAUUCUUGAGUACACAGAAUCUGAAUGGAUGAUGGUUUUCUCAUGUGCAUGCAUAAGUGGAAUAGUUUUUUGGUUUGUUUCUUUUUCUUUGUUCCCCACCCUUGGCCCGUCCAUUGCCCACCAUUUCAUUUUUUUAAAUUCAAAUCAGAAGCAGAAAGGGAGUUAUCUUCUUCCAGGGCAAAGCAGCUGAAUUGUCAGUACUCAUUUCCUGCUAGUUGGAAGGAGUUGAUGGAUUUUUUUAGAUCAUCUCCUAGACACCUUCUAUAGAAAGAUGAUAUCUGAGUAUGAAAAGGAUCUGAUGGAAAAUAAACAGAUUUAUAAAAUCUAGUAGCUUAUUCAGAUCAGAGUGUAAAAAGAAAAGUAUUAAUUGUACUAUAUGGACUAUCACCACCCAUUCAUUUAAGUGAAUACCUACUGUGUACAAGGCAUUGCUGAUUUAUGAUUUUUCCCACAGUGAUUAGAUUUUAAUUAUAUAAUCUUAAUGAGACAAUCAGCCAGAGAUGAAUGGGACAACAUUUGGGGUGUGAUGAGGCUAACAAUUUAGCUCUGGAUUUGGCCUCACUGAAUAUUAGUCUUAGCAAUUCUGUAUCUGCUUUGAGCCAAUACAUUCCCUUCUACCUUCUAUAACCAACAAUAACACCCCACAACUUUUGUCCUAGUCUAUUAUCCAAUGUCUUUUCAUUUCCACAGUUUCCUUUGGCUCUUAGGAAAGGGAUACUAAGAUCAGACAGCUCAUCUUAAAGCUGAGAACUUUGCUCAUGUCCUAUUAACAUUUCUCCUCUAAAUAAGAGGAACUUUACCUUGUUAGUAUCAUGGCUUUCCUUGGCAGUCUACUGAAGUUUAUGUACCAUUUCUCAGACUAAUUUUUUAAAUGUAUAAAAUGGAAUACAAAAGUUUACAAAGGAAAUAAAUUUUAUUAAAAUGAAAUUAUACAUAUUUGCACACAUACAAUUUCUGCAUAUGUAUACACACAUGUAUAUACAUAUGAACAUGUUUACAUUAUAUAUAUAUUCAUGGACCCCUAGUUAAGAACUCCUGUUCUAUUGCAAAUGAUCCCAGGAUUAAUGGAAAUGGAAUCAUCAUUUUAGUAAUUUGCUUAGUAGAUUGAAAAUUCACCUGAACAUCUGAUUUGGUCUUUGGGUAGUUAACUAAAUCUUGAUUUUGUUUUUGGAAGGACCUAAGCCAGCAGAGUGACCUCCCCAUUUGAUGCAAACUCACAUUGAUUCUACGUUUGCCCCCAUCUCUUUAUUAGGGUAUGCUUGCUCUUAUAAUAAUACUUCCUGAAUUUUGAUCAGAGAUUUCCUCUGACAUAUGCAGAAUAGCUAUGAAGUUAUCGACUCUACUGCCUCAGAGUCAAAAAGAAAGCCAUAUUGGUUAUUGGGUCUUCCUGUACUACUUCCUGGUAGUUCUGACUUCUUGACUCCUUACACAUCAGAGUAGGUGUGGCCAUACAAUAUGCAAAAAUACCCCUGUUGUGCUCCAGCAGAUAAAGAAAGCAAGUCAGAAAUCCAGGUCACUUGAUGCCCAUUUUGUAGCCUUGAAGGUACGUAAAUGUUACAUCUUAUAUGAGAUUAAAAAGAGAGAAGUGAUAUUUUAGCCAUAAUUCCCAUGAUGUUUGAUCCACCUAGCCCCCAGUUUUUAUAGACUUAUUGAGUUGGCUGACAUAUUUGUUGCCAACUGGACAAUCUAAACGAUUAUUUAUAGAUUUCUAUCAUCACCGAACCUGGAUACCCACUGGCUCUCUAUCCUCAAACAGUCAUAAUGAUGCUGGUGUCCAUGGGCACAUUGAUUUACUCACAACCACCUGCUAGCCUAAAAAGACUGUUCCUCUUUCCACUGCGUUUUCUUUUCUUCUUUUUGGUAAGUCUUUCUACAGGUAUUUUCUGUCUCUGUCUCUAUAAGUCUCUGUCUCUCUGCCUCUCUCUCUUCCUCUCUGUCUCUGUGUGUCUCUCUCUG